UCCCUAGUGGCUCAGUGGUAAAGAAUCUGCCUGUGAUGCAGGAAACGUAGGUUCAAUCCCUGAGUUGGGAA
rnacentral:tRNA from 1 species